CCACCAGCCAGCCUUUUCCUCUUGCAAGUUCCCUCUCUCUCACUAGAGAGAGAGAGCUGUUUUUCUUUCUCUUUCUUUUGUCUAUUAAACCCCUGCUCCUAAACUCGUGUGUGUCCGUGUCCUAAACUCUCCUGGCACCAGAAGAACCCUGAUUAUUUACCCAGACAACUGUAGCUGCUUCAAAGUGCAAAUAGAAUCAAAAGUUCCUGAUAUAGAAUAAGCAAAUGAUGGAAGAAGCCAAGUUUCCUGAGUGGCCACUAGGAAAACUCUGUCUUCUUUAUCAAAACUAUGAGGGCUGGCGAGAACUAGCUAUGCCUUUUUGCCCUUCUGCCAUGUGAGGACACAGCAACAAGGAGCUGUCUAAAAAGCUGAGACGGAGCCUUCACCAGACACUGAAUCUGCCGGCGACUUGAUCUUGGAUUUCCCAGCCUCAAGAACUGUGAAAAUAAACUUCUGUUGCUUAUAAAUUACUCCGUCUGUGGUAUGUUGUUAUAGCAGCAGGGAUGGACUAAGAAACUCUCUCUUUAUAUAAACAAUUACUUGUGGAGAAGUCUGUAUAAUUACAGAGUAAAAUCUUUAAAAUCUCAUGGGUUUAUAAGUAGCCUUACCUGCUGUCUUAAAUUCAAGAUUCCCACAUUUGCACCUCUUUAGUAUAUAGAAUAUAGACUAUAAAAAUAGUCUUGGCUAUCUAAGGCUAGUGGCCAACUGUCUAUUGCAGAGAAAGAGUGAGAAAUUUAAUAUAAAUAUUCAUUCUUACAUAUCCACUUCCUAGGCUAAUUAUCUAUUUAAGAAACUUUGCCUUAUUGCUACACACAUACAUUUAUAAAUAAAAGUACUUCUGCAUUUUUCAAAUAUAAAUUAGUUUUUUAAGACUUGCGUGCAUACCUAAAAGCAUAUGCACCAGAUAUGUCCAUAUAAGCACAAUUCCAAUCAAAGAAAAAGACUGUACUUAAACCAACAGUAAGGCCUUAAAUCAACUAGGAAAUCCAAUUCAAUCAUAUUUCAGGGUUUAUCAUUUCAGUCAUACAAACUUUAUCCUGGACAAAAACUGAUGUGGGAUGUGUGUGUGUGUAGUUCUAAAUAUUGUAAGCAAAUUUAUUUAAAUGAGCUCAUCUGGAAAUACUGAGUUCUAUGUAAUACAUUUCUUUGUAUUGAACACAAUUGAUUUCUGUGUGUCAAAACAAUGAAAGUGGGUCAUUAAAGCAAUUAUUGUUACUGUGUAAUUUUACUACAUAAAUUACCAAAUAAAUAAUAUUAUUGCAGAAAAACACAAGCUUACUAUCUUUUUACUUAUUUUCAAGUGAAAAGAUGGAAGAGCUAUUCCUAUGUCCUGAAAAGUCCAUAUAUUAGUUGAACAUGCUGAUAUCUGAUUCAUGAAAUCUCCAUUGCUUCAGUACCAUAGAUGUGAAAUGAUUUUAAAGCAUAUUCACAUUUGUCAUCCUAUGUUUUUAUAUUUAAUAAUUUUACUCUAAUUUUACAGUUACUGAAACUGUUACAUAGCUGUGCUGUUCUAUAUCUGGACAUGCUGUGUAUAACAGUAUGUUAUUUUUACAGGUACCGGACUUUAUUCUCUAGAUCUUUUCAGGGGCAUGCAUAGCUCUUAAAGCACCCAUGCUCAUAUUCAAAUCUUCUAAUCUUUU
rnacentral:lncRNA from 10 species